AACGGUAACGAUGCUAGCUUGCUAGCAGGCGACGAGUGGCGGACGGGUGAGUAACACGUGGGAAUCUACCGAGUAGCGGGGGAUAGCCCGGAGAAAUCCGGAUUAAUACCGCAUGUGCACUACGGUGUAAAGAGGGCCUCUAUUUAUAAGCUUUCACUAUUCGAUGAGCCUGCGUCAGAUUAGCUAGUUGGUGGGGUAAUGGCCUACCAAGGCGACGAUCUGUAGCUGGUCUGAGAGGAUGAUCAGCCACACUGGGACUGAGACACGGCCCAGACUCCUACGGGAGGCAGCAGUGGGGAAUAUUGGACAAUGGGCGCAAGCCUGAUCCAGCAAUACCGCGUGUGUGAAGAAGGCCUUCGGGUUGUAAAGCACUUUCAGCGAGGAGGAAGGCCAAGUAGUUAAUACCUGCUUGGAUUGACGUUACUCGCAGAAGAAGCACCGGCUAACUCCGUGCCAGCAGCCGCGGUAAUACGGAGGGUGCAAGCGUUAAUCGGAAUUACUGGGCGUAAAGCGCGCGUAGGCGGAUGAUUAAGUCAGAUGUGAAAGCCCAGGGCUUAACCUUGGAACUGCAUUUGAUACUGGUCAUCUAGAGUACAGAAGAGGGGGGUGGAAUUCCAGGUGUAGCGGUGAAAUGCGUAGAGAUCUGGAGGAACAUCAGUGGCGAAGGCGACCCCCUGGGCUGAUACUGACGCUGAGGUGCGAAAGCGUGGGUAGCGAACAGGAUUAGAUACCCUGGUAGUCCACGCCGUAAACGAUGUCUAUUAGCUGUUGGGUAUAUUAAGAUACUUAGUGGCGCAGCUAACGCGAUAAAUAGACCGCCUGGGGAGUACGGCCGCAAGGUUAAAACUCAAAUGAAUUGACGGGGGCCCGCACAAGCGGUGGAGCAUGUGGUUUAAUUCGAUGCAACGCGAAGAACCUUACCAGGUCUUGACAUCCAGAGAACUUUCCAGAGAUGGAUUGGUGCCUUCGGGAACUCUGUGACAGGUGCUGCAUGGCUGUCGUCAGCUCGUGUCGUGAAAUGUUGGGUUAAGUCCCGUAACGAGCGCAACCCUUGUCCUUAGUUGCUAACAUUAAGUUGAGAACUCUAAGGAGACUGCCGGUGACAAACCGGAAGAAGGUGGGGACGACGUCAAGUCAUCAUGGCCCUUACGACCU
rnacentral:rRNA from 1 species